rnacentral:rRNA from 1 species
AUGGCUAAGUACUGGUGGGGUAGUUCUCUGGACAAGCGAUCCCUACACUGGCUCUCUCGGGACAAACUGACACAGCCGAAGAUCAAGGGAGGCAUGGGGUUUCGGGAUCAUAAGGUGUUCAACCUUGCCAUGCUCAGCAAGCAAGGCUGGCGGCUCCUUACAAACCCUGGCUCUCUUUGCGCCCAGGUUUUGAAAGGUAAAUAUUACCCUCAUACAAGUUUCCUCCAAGCAACGAUCCCUAAAGGUGCUUCUGCGACCUCGAGAGCGGUCAUUGCGGGUAGGAAAGCUCUGGAAGCUGGGCUAAUCCAUCGGAUCAGUGAUGGUUUCUCCACGUCUAUUUGGAACGAUCUUUGGGUUCCCAAUACAGCGACUAUGAAACCUGUCGGUCGUCUCGGAGCAGCCCCUCUCGAGCACGUAUCGGAAUUGAUCGAUGAGUAUACAGGCAACUGGAACGUCGAUCUUGUUCGCCAAACUUCUCUCCUACCAGAUGCUGAGGCCAUUCUGAACAUUCCUUUGAACAGAUUGGGAGGAGAAGAUACUUUGGUGUGGGCACUUGAAAAGUCAGGCAACUAUACUGUCAAAUCAGCGUAUCGAUCUCUUAUGACUCGCAAUGAGAGGAGCUCUCUAGAGGAAGGGACGAUUACGAAUACUUCAUCCGCAAAUAAACAGUUGUGGUCUGCACUUUGGAAAUUACAUGUGGUGCCGAAAAUUAGGGUUUUUUGGUGGAGAGUUGUUGGGGAUAUCACUACUGGGCGUAAACCGGCCUAUCUGGGCCGGGUUAACUUCAUCAGUAGUUCAAUGGUGUAA